rnacentral:rRNA from 1 species
GACAGAGGAUGCAAGCGUUAUCCGGAAUUAUUGGGCGUAAAGAGCUCGUAGGCGGUUUGUCGCGUCUGCUGUGAAAUCCCGAGGCUCAACCUCGGGCUUGCAGUGGGUACGGGCAGACUAGAGUGCGGUAGGGGAGAAUGGAAUUCCUGGUGUAGCGGUGGAAUGCGCAGAUAUCAGGAGGAACACCGAUGGCGAAGGCAGUUCUCUGGGCCGUAACUGACGCUGAGGAGCGAAAGCAUGGGGAGCGAAC